GGCCCGCGGGCGCGGCCGCGUGCCGCGGGGCGGGAGGCUGGGGGGCCGGGGCCGGGGCCGCGCCUCGGAGCGCGUC
rnacentral:miRNA from 1 species